GGGGAAUAUUGCACAAUGGGGGAAACCCUGAUGCAGCGACGCCGCGUGAGCGAAGAAGGCCUUCGGGUUGUAAAGCUCUGUCUUCUGGGACGAUAAUGACGGUACCAGAGGAGGAAGCCACGGCUAACUACGUGCCAGCAGCCGCGGUAAUACGUAGGUGGCGAGCGUUGUCCGGAAUUACUGGGCGUAAAGGGUGCGUAGGCGGCUUUUUAAGUGGGAUGUGAAAUCCACGGGCUCAACUCGUGAAUUGCAUUCCAAACUGGAAAGCUUGAGUGCAGGAGAGGAAAGCGGAAUUCCCAGUGUAGCGGUGAAAUGCGUAGAGAUUGGGAGGAACACCAGUGGCGAAGGCGGCUUUCUGGACUGUAACUGACGCUGAUGCACGAAAGCGUGGGGAGCAAAC
rnacentral:rRNA from 1 species